CUUUAACUUUCUGCAAGACUCUUCAUUGCUUUUGCUGAACCAGGAUGAAGAUAGGAGUAAAAGGCAAAGACUGGACUGGUUUAAAAGCACAGUUCUCUUCUACUGAAGCACCAGACUCAUUCUAACUGAAGUGCACUACAUUGGCAAGCCAAGAAAUCUGAGCUCAGAGAGUAAGCCAGUAGUAAUAACGGUGGAACUAUGUGUUCUAAGAGACAUGGAACUACUGCCACUUCCUUGUAACAUCUAAUUCAACACAAUGCUUGAUGUGAUGCCAUCAUUCCCCAGUCCAACCAACUAGUGAGAUACUUGAUGGAAAUUCAACUGCCCUCUGUCUCCAAGCAAACACAGCAAAGAACAUUAUGUUUUAGAUCUUGAUAAAGUUAACAAGCACAUAAAAUGUUAUCAGGAAACAGUUGAGAGAAUUGAGUGACCCAGACAAAGAAGACGCUCAGCAGCUAAAAAGCUGUGUGGUCAGGUGAUCUGGUUUCACAAUUCACAGCAUUCAAUAACAGUUUCAGUUAAGACCCUCCAGAUUCCCCAUUACUUUCUCAUUAACUGUGACGUCACUCCCGAACAAGAAAAGAGUCUUUGAAGAAAGAAAAGGAUGGGAGAUACUACUUUGUAGAUGGCAUCACUGACAUGUUUAUGAGCUUACUUGCUGGUUUGAAAAAGAAAAAUGUAAUAAAGAGAUGCUUGUGCAAGUGAAUUAAAUGGAAUCGCAAUUAAAUUCCCUCUUUCUAGAAGACCACAAAGUCAUAAGGUCAUCUUUGUAUUGCAGAUAAUUUUAGAAUUAGUUUGUGCAGUAGUAAAAUUCAUUUCCAUAACAAAAACGAAAAUAAGUACUCAUCUCCCCCUCCUUUCCCCAGAUAUAUUACAAAGAUUGGGGCUUGUUUGCUUAGCUAACAUAUGAUUGAUUUUUUUUGAAUGAUGAAUGAUAGCUGUUGAUCCAGGUAUCCUCUCUCAAGAAAGUGCUGCUGUUUCAGGGAAAUUAUGUUUGGUUAAAUGUUUUAAUUAAUUAUUGAUUGGUUUUAAUGUGAUUUUAAUGUCUUAUUAUUGUAUUGUUCACUUUUAAAUGUUGUUAGCCGCCCUGAGCCUGCUUCGGCGGGGGAGGGCGGGAUACAAAUAAAAUUUUACUUACUUACUUUA